AUUCAAGUGAUGUUUCAAUUGAUCUUUUAUCUUUAAUUUAUCGAUUUUCUAAUUUUACAAAAAUGUUCUCACCGAGUAGAAUAUACUUUUGAGUUUUGAGUUAAAUCUUUCACAGUCUGUUGUGGAUUAGCAACGUUUCAAGCCAUAUUAACUAUUGUGUUGUGGCAGUUCGAAAGAUUCAUAUAAAUUGGACUAUUGCUACAAAAAAAACAGAAUCACAGGUUUAAUUCUAUCAAAGGAGAUAAAGCCUCUUAUCUCUACUGUCUUUGAGGGUAAAGAUGCUAAUGUCAUCGCCCACGGAGCAAGAAAUUGCGGAAAAACAUAUCUCAUACAUGUAUUGAAAGCAAUCCCAUUAAGGUAUUGAUUAUCAGACAUGAUACUAUAGAUGAAAAAUGCUAAUUAUUGUAUCGCAUGGUUUGUAGGGAAAUGAUUAUGCUCUGACGCUCAAAGGAAACAGACACCUUUGACUGUGUCUGCUACUUCUAGAAAACAGACAGUGCUAAGGGGAAAUGUGACAGAGAGAAAAGACUAAAAUCAAAGCAAGGAAACUGUUCCGCGAAGCAAACGAUUCAGUGAAAUGUAAAAAUAGCAUGUUGGAAAAUUUAAUUAAUACGUCAUGAAGUGGAAUAAUCUAGAUUCUUCCUUUACAAAGAGGUAAAACAGAGGGUAUAGAAACAGAGACUAAGAGACCAAGAGUCUUAAUUAAGGAGGUUUGGUAUACCACUUAACCCUAAUCAAUCCACUACUUACUUGAUAAAGACAUAUUCUCAUCAUGUAUAUUUGAUUAGAUUAGCUAGGCUCGUAAUAUGGGACAAAACCCCGAAGAUGAGCAAGAAAUGCUUUGAAAGAUUUUAUCGUAGCAUGAGUGUCAUAUCUGCACCCUUCAGUGCUCCCUUGUAAAAUCAAAGUAUCUGAGUAUAGAUACUUAAUAGGUUUAAGUGUUCUUCGAUCUUGGACGAUAUGUUCCAACUUAUACUGAUACAGAGGGUCACGACAUACAUACUAUAAUUGAUAGAGAGUAUUAUCGUCAUCGUGGAUUCAGGUUUUUCCAAGGACGAUAGAUACAUGGCCGGCCCUAUAGACAUCAACAAGAAACUUUUGCUGUAACCCAAAUUUUGUUUCUGAAAUUCUUCAACAAAAAUUAUUUAUGAAA